UAUGAAGAACGUAGCGAAAUGCGAUACGUAAUGUGAAUUGCAGAAUUCAGUGAAUCAUCGAAUCUUUGAACGCAUAUUGCGCUCUCUGGUAUUCCGGAGAGCAUGCUUGUUUGAGUAUCAGUAAACACCUCAACUCCCCUUUCUUUUUUGAAAUGGGAGCUGGACUUGAGUGAUCCCAACGCUUUUCUCACCGAAAAGUGGCGGGUUACUUGAAAUGCAGGUGCAGCUGGACUUUUCUCUGAGCUAAAAGCAUAUCUAUUUAGUCUGCCUAAAAACAGAUUAUUACCUUUGCUGCAGCUAACAUAAAGGAGAUUAGUUCUUGUGCUGACUGAUGCAGGAUUCACAGAGACAGCUUCGGCUGGCCUUUGUAAACUCGAUCUCAAAUCAAGUAAGACUACCCGCUGAACUUAAGCAUAUCAAUAAGCGGAGGA
rnacentral:misc_RNA from 1 species